rnacentral:rRNA from 1 species
UACGGAGGUGCAAGCGUUAUCGGAUUCACUGGGUUUAAAGGGUGCGUAGGUGGGCAGGUAAGUCAGUGGUGAAAUCUUUGGGCUUAACCCGAAACUGCCGUUGAUACUAUCUGUCUUGAAUAUAGUGGAGGUGAGCGGAAUAUGUCAUGUAGCGGUGAAAUGCUUAGAUAUGACAUAGAACACCCAUUGCGAAGGCAGCUCGCUACACUAUUAUUUGA